rnacentral:lncRNA from 12 species
CUCUCCCACAGCUUGGGUGAUGCCUGGGUGCUGACUCUGCACCUGCCCGGGAAGCUGAAGGUGCACCAGAGGCGGUGGAGGGGGGGGCUCGGGCUGAGGGAGGAGCCUGAGGACUCCCUGGGGCCCCCGGGGUGGGGGGGAUGCACGGCAAAGGGGGUGGGGGGUGAGGGGAGGCUGCGCUCUUCCGCAGCCGGAGCUGUGCCACAGUGCGCGCGGCCACCUGUGUCAGACCUGGAAGCUGGAGAAGCCCGGGGCCGGGCUGGGGCGCAGGCCUGGGUGGGGGAAGGAUCACGGAGACGGCCUGCACCACGCACCCUAGGGGACGCUGCCCACUGGGAGGGCCCAGGAGACGUGGGAGGGGGUUCGCAUCGCUGUGCCCUUGGCCACGCCAGCCACUGUCCCCAGCCUUCCCUCCCCAGGGCUCUGCGCUGGACCUGACUAUCAUCCUCCCAGACCCCUGAUGAGCGACUCCGUGCUGGAGCGUCCCAAGAGCGGAUGCCCUGGUACCCCAACAGGCCGCUGCAAGAGGAGGACGAGCUCGCCUUAACCACCCCCCCCCCCCCCGCCCGGUGCGCACCAAGGCCUGGUUCCUGCCUGAGGUGUUGCCGUCUGGGGGCUUGUGCCUGGGGGCUGAGUGCGGGGCAGAGCGAGGAUGCGAACCUGUGUGCUGUGAUGGGAGAAGAGAAGCCCUUGCCCCAGAUGGUAAAGGCCUACCUGGUGAUGGUGCCUCGGCCGCCGCUUCAGGUGAGUCACCAGGGGUUGAGUGGGGGAGACCCCCACACCAGUCACUGUCCCUUUGGCCUCCCCCAGGGCUGCUCCUCUUGGACUCAUGGCUCACCCAUCCACAGUAGUCCCUGCAGGUCAGGUGGGCAUCCCAGAGGUGAGGGCUCCAGGGUGGAGCUGGGUGGGUGUGAGAUGAAUCCUGACCCCAGCAGGGAUGAGAUGGAGGGGAGGGGUCCUCUGGGGAGCUGAAGAGAGCCCCCUCCCAGCACUGUCCCUGUGGAGUCCUCCAAAGACUGUGGGUUUCAUAGUGGCAGCAGAGGUACCCCCCUGCCCCUGGCUGGGACCCUGUUGACCCAUGACCUUUAGCCUUGGAAGUCGACCGACACCCUCAACUCAGAUGGAAGAUCCAAUCCUGAACCAGGUAAGCUGGUGGAGUUGGGGUGUGGUGGGGCCUGUGCCAGGACCAGAGUGGGGUCCUUGGGUACUGGGUCUGGACGGGGAGGAGGAAGAGGGGGCUCAGCCUGGCCUGCGGCAGUUGACUUGAUUUGCUUCUGGGUAUGUGUCCUGCCUGCAGGUAGACAUGCAGGUGUGCAGACACACAGGUGCAGGCCUGCCUAUGUACGCACACCUUUGGGAAAAUGCUGAUGCAUAGGCGAGGACACCUGGCGUAGACAUGCACUGACUGGGCACCCGUCUCGUGCCAGGCACUUUGCAUGCCCACCACUGUGUGAGUUCAUUGGCUCGACUGAUCCCCACUUGACAUGGGACAUUUGCUUUAGGUCCCAACUGCCGGGCAGGGGAUGAAGUUGAGAUCUGAUCCGAGGCAGUUGCGUCGGUUUGAGACAUUGGAGACACAGAGAGGAGCCGUCCCUGCCCUGCAAGGGCUGGCAUGAUGAUGGCAGAGACAAACACUACCCAAAUCAGUAAGUAAUGAGAUAGGAGAUAGUGAUCAGUGUCCUGAAUUAACACAAAGUAAGAUAUGAAGGAGAGAGAAUGAAUCAGAGGAGGGAUGUGGUUAUUUAGCUCAGGGAUCAGAGGAGGCCUUUCUGAGGGGGUGAUUUUUGAGGAGAUAUGAAAGGAGGUGAGGGAGGGAGCGUGAUGAUAUCUGGGGGGAACAGUGGUUCAGGCACAGGAACAACCCAUGUAUAGGCCCGGGGGCAGGACUGUGCCUGGAAGUUGGAGGAACUACGUGGAGGCCCAUGUGACUGGAGCAGAGUGAGGGAAGGGGAGAGAGGGGGGCGGAGAGGCAGGGAGAACUUUUUUGUUUUUUGUUUUUUAGAACUUGGGUUUUUAACUCUGAGGAGAGUGGGAGCCCUGGAGGGCUGCAGACCUGGCUCAGGGGCUCACGGGCACCCUCUGGGGGCUGGUGUGGGGAGGAUAGACUAUGGGAGCAUGGGUGGCCUGGGGACCAGGACUAGUCCAGGUAGGCCAUGAUAGGAUAGGACCAGGUGGGGCUAAGGAGGAGGAAAGUGGGUUGCUUCUGGCUAGAUUUUGAACCGGAGCUUCUAGGGUUUGCUGAAGGAUUCGAUAUGCGGUGUAGAGAGAUGCUGAGGAUCCCCCGAUGCUCCUGGCCUGAGCGAGUGAAGAACUCAUGUGUCUUGAACGGAACUGGCGAAGACAACCGGGUCACAUGACCUUUGAGAUGUCGCCAGGGGCCACCUAGGAUGCAAACAGAGGUGUCAAUUUGGGAAUCAUGGCGUAAGGUGAUUUUUUAAAAAAAGAGUUUCAACUUGGUUUUAAUAAUUCCUUUGUCAGAUUUCUCUCAUUCCUCUGAACGUGGAAAUAGUUCCGAGCUAUAAACCGUGUCUAGAUUGCCAGUACAUUUAGUUUUAGGUUUUGUUUUUGUUUUUCAAACAUCAAAGGUGACCUCUGCCACCAAUUGUUAACCAUGCCAUAGUCGUGACCAUUAAACGUUCCUUUAGGAGUCCAGUUGUAGCAAGUGACAAAUCAAAAGGGAAGAGUCUAUAGCAAAUGUUUUUUUUUUUUUUUUUUUUAGCAAAUGUUUAAUGUUGCUGGAAAGGAUCCUCAGCCCAACAUAAAAUAGAUUAAACAUCAGAAUGUGGUCCAUCCCUUACUGUCAUUGUUCAAGAAAGUUCCUGAAACCCGUAUUCUUCUGUGAAGCAUUGGGCUAAAUCACAGUGGAUUUUUAAGUCGCAUCCUUGGUAAUUAAUCAUACGAUCACGUCUUGUCAAUCAGAGUGAACGCUAAUGCGGUAUCCAGAAAUCUUAUCAUCUGUUUCUCCAGAAGGGACCUGGGCACUGCUUCCCAGUAUCUUAGCCGGAUUUCUUCAUACCAGGCAAGUAGGUGAUUCUGGGACUGAGAAAUUAUUAUUAUUAUUAUUGUUAUUAUUUGAAUAUUUUAUUUGUUUAUUUGUUUUGAGAGGGAGAGAGAGAGUGAGAGAGUGAGGGAGCCAGCACACAUGUGAGUGAGGGGGAAAGGCCAAGGGAGAGAGAGAGAGGGAAUCCUGAGCACAUUCUGUGCUGAGUGUGGAGCCAAUGUGGGGCUUGAUCCUAUGGCUCUGAGAUUGUGACCUGAGCUGAAAUAAAAAAUUGGAUGCUCAACUGACUGAGCCA